UACGUAGGCAGCAAGCGUUGUUCGGAGUUACUGGGCGUAAAGGGUGUGUAGGCGGUUGUUUAAGUUUGGGGUGAAAUCUCCCGGCUCAACCGGGAGGGUGCGCCGAAUACUGAGUGACUAGAGUGCGGGAGAGGAAAGUGGAAUUCCUGGUGUAGCGGUGAAAUGCGUAGAUAUCAGGAGGAACACCGGUGGUGUAGACGGCUUUCUGGACCGUAACUGACGCUGAGACACGAAAGCGUGGGUAGCAAACAGG
rnacentral:rRNA from 1 species